CCUAACUCUUAUUCUGUACCCAAGCAACCUGUAAUUGUGAAAGCAAAGUUCUUCAGUAGAAGAACAGAUGGGAAGAUCCAAGAAAUUGCUAGUGCCUUGGCUUUUGUGGCAUAAAAGUUUUUGUUUUAUUCAAA